rnacentral:snoRNA from 1 species
CUGCAAUGAUGAAAACCUAUGGUCCGUGUUUAUGAUUGAGGAAGUAAGACCCCUCGUAUAAAAUGAAUACAACCCCAUAUACGUUCACGUUUCUGAGGCA